rnacentral:rRNA from 1 species
CGAACGCUGGCGGCGUGCUUAACACAUGCAAGUCGAACGGAAAGGCCCUGCUUUUGUGGGGUGCUCGAGUGGCGAACGGGUGAGUAACACGUGAGUAACCUGCCCUUGACUUUGGGAUAACUUCAGGAAACUGGGGCUAAUACCGGAUAGGAGCUCCUGCUGCAUGUUGGGGGUUGGAAAGUUUCGGCGGUUGGGGAUGGACUCGCGGCUUAUCAGCUUGUUGGUGGGGUAGUGGCUUACCAAGGCUUUGACGGGUAGCCGGCCUGAGAGGGUGACCGGCCACAUUGGGACUGAGAUACGGCCCAGACUCCUACGGGAGGCAGCAGUGGGGAAUAUUGCACAAUGGGCGGAAGCCUGAUGCAGCAACGCCGCGUGCGGGAUGACGGCCUUCGGGUUGUAAACCGCUUUCGCCUGUGACGAAGCGUGAGUGACGGUAAUGGGUAAAGAAGCACCGGCUAACUACGUG